UCCAGAGGAACCAUCAAGGAUGUAGACUCAAACUGCCAACCAAGGAGCCUCAAGUUAUUUGGACCACAUUCAAAGGACUGUGUAUUGAAAAUGGCUUCCUAGUUCUCUGCACUCAAUUAUUCUAACAUCAAGAAAGAUCUCUCUAAAGGCAGAGUAAUGAAGACAAGCAGCAGACUGCAAGAAGCAGUCUGUAGGACCUCCCAUACGUAAGAAAAGGACCAUACAUUCAGGACACUUAGAAUGACCUAAAUAUUGUGAAA